GAUUAGAGAGUUUCUUUAUAAUUUGCCACUGAUGGAGCGACCUUUAGCACCUAUAUGUAUUCAUUGUGAUUGUAGAUCUACGAUAGAUAAGUGUGCCCAAGAGAAUGCGGAGACUAAGAUGAAUAGAUUCAUAAAAGUGAGACAUAAGUUCAUUCGGCAGAAUUUGAAGGAAAAUGUGAUUGGAUUGAAAUUUGUGAAAUCUACGAAGAAUUUGGCUGAUCAGCUUUGAAGGGAAUAUCUAGGAUAGCGAUCCUAGAAUCGUCGAGGGGGAU
rnacentral:lncRNA from 1 species